CCUACGGGUGACAGCAGUGAGGAAUAUUGGUCAAUGGGCGCGAGCCUGAACCAGCCACGUAGCGUGAAGGAUGACUGCCCUACGGGUUGUAACCUUCUUUUAUAAAGGAAUAAAGUGAGGCACGUGUGCCUUUUUGUAUUUACUUUAUGAAUAAGGAUCGGCUAACUCCGUGCCAGCAGCCGCGGUAAUACGGAGGAUCCGAGCGUUAUCCGGAUUUAUUGGGUUUAAAGGGAGCGUAGAUGGGUUGUUAAGUCAGUUGUGAAAGUUUGCGGCUCAACGGUAAAAUUGCAAUUGAUACUGGCAGUCUUGAGUGCAGGUGAGGUAGGCGGAAUUCGUGGUGUAGCGGUGAAAUGCGUAGAUAUCACGAAGAACACCGAUGGCGAAGGCAGCUUACUAAACUGUAACUGACAUUGAUGCGCGAAAGUGUGGGUAGCAAACAGGAUUAGAUACCCCGGUAGUC
rnacentral:rRNA from 1 species